GACGAACGCUGGCGGCGUGCUUAACACAUGCAGGUCGAAUGGAAAGGCCUCUUUCGGGGGGUACUCGAGUGGCGAACGGGUGAGUAACACGUGAGUAACCUGCCCUUGACUUUGGGAUAACUUCAGGAAACUGGGGCUAAUACCGGAUAGGAGCUCCUGCUGCAUGGUGGGGGUUGGAAAGUUUCGGCGGUUGGGGAUGGACUCGCGGCUUAUCAGCUUGUUGGUGGGGUAGUGGCUUACCAAGGCUUUGACGGGUAGCCGGCCUGAGAGGGUGACCGGCCACAUUGGGACUGAGAUACGGCCCAGACUCCUACGGGAGGCAGCAGUGGGGAAUAUUGCACAAUGGGUGGAAGCCUGAUGCAGCAACGCCGUGUGCGGGAUGACGGCCUUCGGGUUGUAAACCGCUUUCGCUCAUGACGAAGCUUUGUGUGACGGUAGUGGGUAAAGAAGCACCGGCUAACUACGUG
rnacentral:rRNA from 1 species